AAAAAAAACAAACGAGUAAGGGAAAUUAACACAAUAGUACGUUCAGGUUUUUCCUUUUUUUGUUUUUUGUUUUUUUG
rnacentral:ribozyme from 1 species